rnacentral:tRNA from 1 species
CGAGGCAUAGCGCAGUUGGUAGCGCACAUGGUUUGGGACCAUGGGGUCGGGGGUUCAAGUCCCUCUGCCUCGA